ACUUAUUUAUUUAUUAGAUGACAGACUCUGAUUGGCGGGAAUAAAAAGGGAUGAAGCCAAGCACUGUUCAUUAUUAAAUGAGAUAAAAUUGAUUUGGUUAAAUUUUAAAAAU
rnacentral:sRNA from 1 species